UAAGUAAGCUUUGAUCCAGAGAUUUCCGAAUGGGGAAACCCAGCAUGAGUUAUGUCAUGUUAUCGAUAUGUGAAUACAUAGCAUAUCAGAAGGCACACCCGGAGAACUGAAACAUCUUAGUACCCGGAGGAAGAGAAAGAAAAUUCGAUUCCCUUAGUAGCGGCGAGCGAAACGGGAAGAGCCCAAACCAACAAGCUUGCUUGUUGGGGUUGUAGGACACUCUAUACGGAGUUACAAAGGACGACAUUAGACGAAUCAUCUGGAAAGAUGAAUCAAAGAAGGUAAUAAUCCUGUAGUCGAAAAUGUUGUCUCUCUUGAGUGGAUCCUGAGUACGACGGAGCACGUGAAAUUCCGUCGGAAUCUGGGAGGACCAUCUCCUAAGGCUAAAUACUCUCUAGUGACCGAUAGUGAACCAGUACCGUGAGGGAAAGGUGAAAAGCACCCCGGAAGGGGAGUGAAAUAGAACCUGAAACCGUGUGCUUACAAGUAGUCAGAGCCCGUUAAUGGGUGAUGGCGUGCCUUUUGUAGAAUGAACCGGCGAGUUACGAUUUGAUGCAAGGUUAAGCAGUAAAUGUGGAGCCGUAGCGAAAGCGAGUCUGAAUAGGGCGUUUAGUAUUUGGUCGUAGACCCGAAACCAGGUGAUCUACCCUUGGUCAGGUUGAAGUUCAGGUAACACUGAAUGGAGGACCGAACCGACUUACGUUGAAAAGUGAGCGGAUGAACUGAGGGUAGCGGAGAAAUUCCAAUCGAACCUGGAGAUAGCUGGUUCUCUCCGAAAUAGCUUUAGGGCUAGCCUCAAGUGAUGAUUAUUGGAGGUAGAGCACUGUUUGGACGAGGGGCCCCUCUCGGGUUACCGAAUUCAGACAAACUCCGAAUGCCAAUUAAUUUAACUUGGGAGUCAGAACAUGGGUGAUAAGGUCCGUGUUCGAAAGGGAAACAGCCCAGACCACCAGCUAAGGUCCCAAAAUAUAUGUUAAGUGGAAAAGGAUGUGGCGUUGCCCAGACAACUAGGAUGUUGGCUUAGAAGCAGCCAUCAUUUAAAGAGUGCGUAAUAGCUCACUAGUCGAGUGACACUGCGCCGAAAAUGUACCGGGGCUAAACAUAUUACCGAAGCUGUGGAUUGUCCUUUGGACAAUGGUAGGAGAGCGUUCUAAGGGCGUUGAAGCAUGAUCGUAAGGACAUGUGGAGCGCUUAGAAGUGAGAAUGCCGGUGUGAGUAG
rnacentral:rRNA from 1 species